CCGCCCGCCCCCCGCCUCGUGUCGCCGCCGCGUCCCCACUGCGCCCGGCGGCCGAGAGGAUGGCGCUCGCGGCGCGGCGCUUGGCGCGGCUGCUCCUGGCCCAGGUCUUUGCAGCCUCUUUGGAAUCUGAAUUGAGUGAGCAUGCAUCAUACAGAGCACCAAACUGUGGUCAGUAUAAGUUACCAGAAUGUCCCAGGGACUACAACCCCGUGUGUGGCAGCGACAUGUCCACUUAUCCCAAUGGAAUGUACCUCUGU